rnacentral:rRNA from 1 species
UGGCGGACGGGUGAGUAACGCGUGAGGAUCUGCCCUUAGGACGGGGAUAACACUGGGAAACUGGUGCUAAUACCGGAUGAGCCGAGAGGUAAAAUAUUUUAUAGCCUGGGGAUGAACUCGCGUCUGAUUAGCUAGUUGGUGGGGUAAAAGCUUACCAAGGCGACGAUCAGUAGCUGUUCUGAGAGGAUGAUCAGCCACACUGGGACUGAGACACGGCCCAGACUCCUACGGGAGGCAGCAGUGGGGAAUUUUCCGCAAUGGGGGGAACCCUGACGGAGCAACGCCGCGUGCGGGAGGACGGUUUGUGGACUGUAAACCGCUUUUAAUAGGGAAGAAUAGAUGACGGUACCUAUUGAAUCAGCAUCGGCUAACUCCGUGCCAGCAGCCGCGGUAAU